ensembl:lncRNA
GUCUCUGAGGCGCGAAUUCCGACAGUGAGAGGAACGGCCGGAUACAGGAGACGGGAAGAAACAAGCCGAUUAUGUUCGCGUUAAUUAGGUGGUUGGAAGAUGUAAAAUUCUCAAUUCUGCCAACUGAACAUAUACGAGAUUUUAAUGAGGAUGAAUAAUCAGCCGGCAUGGAGGAAACGGACCUUUAUUUGGUGGAGUGGCGACAAGAAGCCAAAAGACGGGUGGCCGGUCUAUGAAGCCUCCAUCAUCAAGCUAGCAGCCCAUGAAAUCGAACGCAGAUCUUCCUGAUGUGAGCUUUACAUAAAUAUGUCAAAGUCUCAACCUCAUGCUGCCCUCCCCCAUCCUCCUAAACCUGUGGAUACAAAUGCAGAUUUCCUUAAUGUUCAAUGGUGCGUGUUCUUCUAAUGGCCGCCUUCCCACUGGAGGUUUUGAUCCACAGCAAUUUAAAAGGAGAACAAAGCAAAACGGACAUCGGCAAGAGAGUGAAGAACUGCCCUUCAUAAGGACACUAUGACAGCCAUAUAUAUGGCCGUAAGGAAGAGGUUUCCCAAUUUGUGCAGAAGGGCUUUGAGGAUUGCAGUGAAAGCUGGGGGAACUGAGACUGCUGGAAAAGGAAAAGAAAUUACAUUUUAAGUAUGUUGACUUAUGUUCAUACAAUCACACACACAUAUACACACACAUAUGUGUGUGUAUAUGUGUAUAUAUAUGUAUAUAUAUAUAUAUAUAUAUAUACACACACA